UACGUAGGGUGCGAGCGUUAAUCGGAAUUACUGGGCGUAAAGGGCGCGUAGGCGGCCUGGCAAGUGGAAGGUGAAAUCCCUCGGCUUAACCGAGGAACUGCCUCCCAAACUGCUUGGCUUGAGACCGGGAGAGGUGAGUGGAAUUCCCAGUGUAGCGGUGAAAUGCGUAGAUAUUGGGAGGAACACCAGUGGCGAAGGCGGCUCACUGGACCGGUACUGACGCUGAUGCGCGAAAGCGUGGGGAGCAAACGGG
rnacentral:rRNA from 1 species